CCUACGGGAGGCAGCAGUGGGGAAUAUUGGACAAUGGGGGCAACCCUGAUCCAGCCAUGCCGCGUGUGUGAAGAAGGCCCUCGGGUUGUAAAGCACUUUCAGUGAGGAAGAACGCCUGGUGGUUAAUACCCAUCAGGAAAGACAUCACUCACAGAAGAAGCACCGGCUAACUCCGUGCCAGCAGCCGCGGUAAUACGGAGGGUGCGAGCGUUAAUCGGAAUUACUGGGCGUAAAGCGCGCGUAGGUGGCUUGAUAAGCCGGUUGUGAAAGCCCCGGGCUCAACCUGGGAACGGCAUCCGGAACUGUCAAGCUAGAGUGCAGGAGAGGAAGGUAGAAUUCCCGGUGUAGCGGUGAAAUGCGUAGAGAUCGGGAGGAAUACCAGCGGCGAAGGCGGCCUUCUGGACUGACACUGACACUGAGGUGCGAAAGCGUGGGUAGCAAACAGGAUUAGAUACCCUGGUAGUC
rnacentral:rRNA from 1 species